UACGUAGGUGGCAAGCGUUGUCCGGAAUUAUUGGGCGUAAAGCGCGCGCAGGCGGUCCUUUAAGUCUGAUGUGAAAGCCCACGGCUCAACCGUGGAGGGUCAUUGGAAACUGGGGGACUUGAGUACAGAAGAGGAAAGCGGAAUUCCACGUGUAGUGGUGAAAUGCGUAGAGAUGUGGAGGAACACCAGUGGCGAAGGCGGCUUUCUGGUCUGUAACUGACGCUGAGGAGCGAAAGCGUGGGGAGCAAACAGG
rnacentral:rRNA from 1 species